GCUCGGUCAACCUGCUUCAUGUCUGAAAGUCCCUGUUCAUUUUGUGGCUCUGGCUUAGACAGGGACUCGGUUCUCCUUGGCCCACUUUUUCAUGAUGCGGAUGAUGUAUUCUACUUGAGAAUUACCAGUGCUUCUCAGGAGAUGCAGUACUUCCCGCAGAGUCUCUUUUGCUUCUCGGCCAGCUAAGAUCAUUUGAAAGACAC
rnacentral:lncRNA from 1 species